ACAAACAACGGAAAUGCAUCAGGAGAGCUCAGCGGCAGACAGAAUGCACAUCAUGAAGCAGGAGCCACCGAGGGAUUCCUCAGAUGAAAGCCGAUUUCAAUGAGCAUUGUGUUUUGCAGCCUGCUUCCUCUUGCUCUGUAAGAGCUGCAGAAGGAACAUCCCACUUGCGUCUGCUGACACAAAAGAAUGCUGAGGCUGGGAGAUCUUAUCAAGCUUUCCUGUGCCACAGUAACAGAGCGCCAGUUGUGUCUCGUAAGAAUUGCUCAUUGUUCCAUGAGGACGACUGGCUCCUUUGGGUGGGAUCUGAUGGCAUGUCGGGGAGCGGAGCUCGUACUGAUGCAUAGAACUCACUAGAAUCGACAUGCUGAGGCAGAGUGGUGCAAGGAAAGGUUCAAGAAGAACAUGCCUCACUGCAGCCUAGUUCCCUUAAAAAGCUUGCCAAGAAGGUGUGGUCUUCAUGUGAGAAAGCACUGCUUCACCUCUAUCCACAGGUCAUUCCCCCUAACGCAGCAUAUUGUGUUUGUUUUGUUUGACACUGAGUAAAUAGCUAUUUCCUUUUCUUUGCUACAGUUGUCUUAGAAAAUGGUCCUCUAUGUUUUGGACUCCCCUCUUCCUAUCUCUGGAAGUACAUUCAUACCCAUAUCCUUUCAAGGGAAUACUUUGGGAUAGAUCAUAAUUCUCAGCAACCACAAACAAUGGACUCGAAUAGCUUACUUACAGCAAUGGGAACACACCUUUGGAGGCACUUGAUGGAAUCAUAGCUAAACUAAAGCCAGUCCCAUUUUUUUAAGAAGAAAUUUUCAUGGUACUUCUAGAUAGGCAGAUUUAAAAAACAGGACAAAUCAGUGUGAAAAGGAUGAAAAAAGUACUCUGAAUUAUUAAUUCAUGACCAAAAUGGGUAAUAGCUCAGAAACACAAAUUCAAAAUGUAUUCAUUAUUAAAAUUGAUU